UACGUAGGGCGCGAGCGUUGUCCGGAUUUAUUGGGCGUAAAGAGCUCGUAGGCGGUUUGUCGCGUCGGCCGUGAAAUCUCCACGCUUAACGUGGAGCGUGCGGUCGAUACGGGCAGACUUGAGUUCGGUAGGGGAGACUGGAAUUCCUGGUGUAGCGGUGAAAUGCGCAGAUAUCAGGAGGAACACCGGUGGCGAAGGCGGGUCUCUGGGCCGAUACUGACGCUGAGGAGCGAAAGCGUGGGGAGCGAACAGG
rnacentral:rRNA from 1 species